ensembl:lncRNA
AGAAAACUUUACAAGUUGUUUACUAAAGUGAAAGCCAUAAAUUUUAGUAAUGGAAGAUGAAAUUUAGCCAUCUGUGGAAGUGAUUACACCCUUCACAGAGAAUAAAGUACCCAGUGUAAACAGAUCUUAUAAUGGAAAAUGCACGUCUGGAGGGGAAUAGCUUCCAUUCAGGAUCAGCAUUCAGGACAGCUCUACAAGACUGUCCCGCUGUCUUAUCUGUGACACAGUUGAUGCCGAAUUUAACACAAGAUAGCAGUCCCCAAGUGCUCCCAAUUGCAGGAACCCUGCUAAUCCCAACAUCUAGAGUGUGUUGUCAUAAGGCAUGAUGCAUCCUUUGUGGGGGGAGAUGUUCAGCCUAAAGGACGGAAAAGAAGCAAAGGAUUUGCCACAUUUCACAUCACAAAAGGGAUUAAAGAGGCUCCUUUCCCUUUGACUGGUUAACAGCUCUUGUGUCAGCGUCUUCGUCACGUUUCAUAUAAUUAUUAGGCAUUAAAAGGUCCUUGUAAAUGUCUGCGUCUGAACAUUUUUAUAGUUCUGCCAUUGUCUGAUGAGGAGGAUGCUUCCUUGUUUCAGGAGUGUGUCAACUGAUGAGACAGGAUAGGGAAAGCCUAACUGAUUCCAGAAAUAAUUCUCAAUCCAAAAAAGAUUAUGCUUUCUUGCAAAAUGGUAUCUGGUAUAUUGUUCAUGUUACUUUAUUUCAAGUAGUAAAAAUAAAAUGCCUUGGAUCAGACUGAUUAGAAGGAACCUUGAGUUUUUGAUCUUUUGAAGAUCCAAGAAAGAUUAUCUGGUCCAGCUGUUAAUGAGAAGACUGAAGCCCAGAGAGAAGUGAGUACCCACAUCUCAGAACCAGCCCAGUGCGCUCACCUUGCUGUUUGCCGUCUCCUUGCUGGCUAUACGUUUAAAGUCAAGUGGUUCUAAACAGCAAUCCAGAUGUUCCAUAAAAACUGUCAAAGCAGUGAGCAUAUCAUGCUGAAUCUGGCAGCACAGAGUUAGGAGAGCCGGUCUUCCUCCUGUGCCUCCGAGAUCCAGAACACAUGGUUAUCCUUGUCUGGGAUAACCUGGGAUUCUUGUCUGACCUCCCCUUCUAGAGUCAAUAAUCAUUUCCUGAGUCCUGCUGAGUUUCAAGAUCUGUGCUGAGCACUUCCAUCCUCUCCAGAGAGAAGAUCCGCGGGUACAGGCUCAGUCACCCAGGAUCCAAAGAAAGAAAAUGCCUUUAAGGACAGUAUGAUCACCAGAUCACCAGCCCCCAGCUGCUGCUGAAGCCCAGAAGUCUGGUUGCCCAAGAGGUUAUCUGAAGUAAAAGAAACAGAUUUCCCCUCUGUUUUCUCUGAAACUCCUCCUCCCAAGCCAGUUAGCUCUUUAAAGACCCCCUGCUUUCUUCUUUCACGAAGGCGCAUUUGAGAAGGCCUAUCCUGGGGCCUUCUCUUCUCAUUUUGACCAAUUUGAAUAACCCUUUCUCCAUCUCCAAGCACUGCUGUCUCAGUGACCGGCUUACUGUGCAUCAGGCACAGGAACUUGAGAUUAAGAGGUCAGGUAUCAAGUUCGCUUUGAAUGUGGAACAGACACAUGCAGAUUUGUUAUUCAGGAGGUCCCAGGCCAGCUAAAGAGAUGAGAGUGCCCUGCCCCACAAACAAGAGAAGCUUACUGGAGGCCAAUAACCAUGCGCUCUGCUGGUUGGCGCUUCAGGAUAUUAGAAAAGGUCAGCUGAGUUGUCGAAGCUUCAUUCUAG